UCCCUGGAGGACUAGUGGUUAGGUCAUGGCACUCUCACCCCUGUGGUCCGUGUUCAAUUCCCAGCCAGGGCA